CACAAUCAGUUCUCAAACUUGUUUUACUCAAAUAUCAACAAAAAAAAGAAGAGGAUAUAUUCAUAUAUACACAGAGUUGUUUCAUCCUCGAGAAAAAUAACUAAUGGCAACAAAUAAGUUUUCAUCUGUUUUAUUACCUUCGUUGUUAAUUUUUUCUCUCAUCCUUUUGCCUAUGAUUUCAGGGCAAUAUUACCAAUGCAUUGGCGUAUGUACACUCACACCGGAAUGCUAUAGAAGAUGCAUGUCUAUGGGAUACCCAAGAGGAGGGGGGUGUCGAGUAUAUAGUUUUGGCCGUAUUUGUUGUUGUGAACUCAGUGCUAAACCUCCUUACUAAUUCAUUCUUAAUGCAUUAUCUAUAUCUGUA